GACCCGAUGGCUGCCGGAGGAUUGGUUGUCCGGCGGGGGCUCCUGAACUGGGGUCUCCUGAGCGGCAGCGAGGCUAGGCGAGGGAAUUGUUGCUUAGGUACUAACACCACCAUGCUGAAAGGCUGCGGAGGGUGACAUUGUGAUCCAAGUACUUUUCCAUGUUAACCUAAGUUUUCUUGGAUGUGGAGAGUAUCGGGCUGCUCUUAGGUAUAGAAGGAUGUGAAAUGAAAUGAUGCAAUGAUGAGUGAAGUAUAGUCUGACCUGGUAUUGCCACUGCUUCAAUGUUGGCCUUGACCAGGGUUGAGGUGAAAAAUCUGGCUUUGAUACCUUCAUGGAGGAUUACAUUAUUUCAAUCCUGAAUCUGGCUCAGUUUCCUUAUUGACUUCUUAUGAUAUUAAAAAUGUUUGUUUAAUUAA